rnacentral:rRNA from 1 species
AGCGAACGCUAGCGGCGGGCCUAACACAUGCAAGUCUUGCGGGUCACUUCGGUGAUCGGCGGCGGACGGGUGAGUAACACGUAGGUAAUCUGCCCUUUGGUGGGGAAUAACCCAGAGAAAUCUGGGCUAAUGCCGCACGAGGCCUUCGGGUCAAAGCCUUCGGGCGCCAGAGGAUGAGCCUGCGUCGCAUUACCUAGUUGGUAGGGUAAUGGCCUACCAAGGGGACGAUGCGUAGCUGGUCUGAGAGGAUGAUCAGCCACACUGGGACUGAGACACGGCCCAGACUUCUACGGAAGGCAGCAGUGGGGAAUAUUGCGCAAUGGGCGAAAGCCUGACGCAGCUACGCCGCGUGGGUGAUGAAGGCCUUCGGGUUGUAAAGCUCUGUCUUCAGGGACGAUAAUGACGGUACCUGAGGAGGAAGCCACGGCUAACUACGUGCCAGCCGCCGCAGUAAAAC